GUCUAGUGAAAGUAAAAAGAAGAAAAACAGAGCUAAGCCAAGGAAAUGAUUUCUUUCCCACCUACAAUGCAUGAAAAGAAAUUAACAUGAAAAGGGUCUGAGGAAGACAUUAAUAUUUUGAUAGUGGCAGAAGAAUGUUAUUUACAAAAAUAAUGACAAAUGUUGAAGAGAAAAUACAGGCUUCCUAGCAACUAGACCAAAGAUAAGAACUUGAUCAUAAGAACCCAUCACUGAGAACAUCAUCUAUUUUGCCCAUAAGACUUGGAGAACUGAAGCAGGAACUAAGAUGGAGAUGUCCUCACCACUAACUAGCCCCUGCAGUGUUUGGAAGAUGCUAUUCACGCUGCUAGAUGAGAGAGAACAUGAACAGCCUUAUCCGGCUAUGAACUGUAGACUAGGCCCAGACAGAAGGAUAUGCCACAGCAGGAGACAGGAUCCAGAAUGAGAAUAGACAAAAGACAUUUUCAAAAGUCCAGGUUCACAGCUUGACAGAAGCCUUCACACAGAAAGAGCCAUUGCACAUUGGACAGAUGAUCCCAGAAUGGAAGUUUCCAGAGGAAAUAACAGUCAAUAAACAGGACCAACUACAUAACAAAAGCAAUAUUGGUUACUUGCUGGUUUUUAGAACAUGAGCACAGGGGUUGAUCCCAGGAUUCUGUGCCUGCUAAGCAAACAUUCUGUCACAGAGCUACACCUCCCGUUCCAGAUGAAUUACUGGUGUGAUGAAUUUGACUUCAACUUAAUGACACAACUUGUAAUGUUACCAAAAAAAAAAAAAAAAAAAGGAAUAAUUCCACAAGGCAAACAUUCAAACAUAAAUCCACGAAGUUGAACGUCAUCAGCGAUCUGAUUCAUUUUAUGAUUAGAAUAACAUUCCUUAAUAAUUCUUAUAUAACAUGGCUUGAGAUACCCAAAGUACAUAUUUUCUAUCAACACAAAUGCUUCUUCACCAUGUAUCCUAGGAAAAAAAUCACCUAGGGGUGAUUAUUAAAAAAAAAAAAAAAA
rnacentral:lncRNA from 1 species